rnacentral:misc_RNA from 1 species
CAGAGUUUUUAACUCCAAACCCAUGUGAACUUACCAUUGUUGCCUCGGCGGAGCCUACCCUGUAGCUACCCUAUAAGGUGGCUACCCUGUAGCGCCCCGCCGGUGGAUUUUCAAACUCUUGUUAUUUAUAGUAAUCUGAGAGUCUUAUUUUAAAUAAGUCA